GGGCCGAAGAACGACGGGAGGAGCUCGCGGCGCGCGGCGGCUUGCUCGGCUUUCAGUCUAGGGCAGCAGGAGGUUCUAGGGCACGGUUUUUACGGCGAAGAUAAAAAAACAACACACGGGGUUGUUGCUAGCAGCUUUAUAGGAUCAGAUACGCGCGGAAAGGAGAAACCCCGAGGAAACCGGGAUCGGAUCUCCUUCAGAUCGAGUCCGGAUUGAUUUCGUUCCGGGGAAGAAGAAAAGAGGAGGCUGACGGGUGGGGUCCGGCGGUCAGGGGCAGCAAGCAGAGAGGAGAGGCACGCUGUGGGCCUGGGCUGCGCGUGCGGGGUGAGGGGGGUUCGGCUGGGGUUUUUCCUGUUCCUUUUUUUAUUUUCUUUUCUGUUUUCUUUUCCAAAAUAAACCUUUUUCAAGUAAAAUUUUGAAUGCAAAUAAAUUCAAGCCUGAGGCAAACAAUACAAAAUGAGAUCUUCGGCAUGAAUGCAUAAACAAGUUUCUAAUCUUAUGUUAAAUUUUAAUUUUGACAAAAAAUAUUUUAUAUACUGGAUUAAAUGCUCACCAAAAAUGCUUAAUUAAAUCAAAUUAAUUCCUAUUGAUUGAAAACAAAUUUUUGGGUGUUACAUAGAUAAACACCAAAACUCGUAGAAUUCUUUCAGAUAAAACCCUCACUUUGGAUGUUGAUUUUAUUUGGAUCCUUUUGUUUGUUUAUUUGAUAAUUAAAUUUGAUACUUAAGGACCGUCAACAAACUCCCCCAAGCUUACCUCUUCCUCGUCCCUAAGCAAGGAUAGUCUCAGUGAUGGAUCAGAAGUUGUUGCAAUACCUUUAAAAAUUGACGGUACACAUGCUUUCUGAUAAGGUCUCUUCUCUGAGUUAGAGUAAACUGUCAAGACAUAAAACUUACUUACUCUACCUUUUACCAUGGGACUUGUAACCGUCACUUCCGUCUUGAGUAGUUAAAAGAUAGAACAGUCUAGUCAAGUGCCAUGUCUCUUAUCUUGAUCAACUAUAGCUCUGGAGUUUUUUGCAGAUUUUCGAAUAAAACUCAGAAAUUCCUUGUAUGACUCUCUUAGAUCUCACUUUUGUGGUAUUUCUAGAUCCUUACCAAGGCAGUAAUGGUACAGGCCUUCUCUCAAAAUAUGUAGUAUUUGUGGUAUAAGGCACAGUGACAUUGACUUCUCUCUCACCCUACUCUAAUAAGGCUUUAAUAUCUGGAGCUUAUAGGUGGGAGAUAAAGUAUACAUACUUACAAGACAUUUAUUGCAUAGUCAAACCAUGGAUCCAAAGUAACAAGUCAAUAAGUCAAAUCAAGAUGUGCAUGUGUGGCGAAUGAAUGGCGUAUGGUGAUGAUGGUGAUAACAAUGGUGAAAGACUAAUUCUACUUUUGCUCUUUGAGGGGAUACAUAUCUUCCUUGCUUUUUGAAACUUUUGAGGAGAAUGAGAUGCUCUUCUUUUUCUUUCCUCUCAGGUGGGUAUCUUGUACCCCUAAUUCUACUGUCGGACACUUGUCUAUUUUUACCUCUCGUCUCACUUUUUCUUUUCUUUCGAGGUUCCGGGCACUUGCCCCUUUUUAUUUCCUCGUAUCUAUUUUUCUUCUCUUUUUUUAGAGCACUCAUCUCUUGAGAUAAUAUAGCAAGUGGUAGUAACAAGAUAACUUGAGCAUUUAUUUCACAAGGGAAAAACAAAAAUAUUUUUGGUUAUUCUCUCCCGGAUUAGGAGUAGAAUAUUUUUGGGUGGUUCUGGAGAUGGAAAUGAGUGGAUAUAUCUGGAUGCGUACUUCCGGAAUAGAAGCAACAUGUGUGAGUGAACGUGCAAGUGAAUCUUGAUUUAACCACAUGACAAGCUCCUAAGGGUCUACACAGCUUGACCACACUCAAUGCUCAUAAGCAGUAAAUAGUAAAUGUGUGGCUCAAAAUCUAGCAAGCAUGUAUAUAUGGCUGUGGUAGGAAUUUAAACUCUCGUCAUACAGGAACUCAUCAUGUGUUAUUUUAAAGAUUUUCAAAGAUAAAAAUUCUCCAGAAUUCUAGCAUAUCUAGGAAUAGAUAAAUAGCAGCUCAUCCUUCCCAUAUCGUAUCCGUUAACAACUUAGACUUCAGAUCAAGUUUUCUUCUCACUAGUUUAGGUUUAGAGUAAGCUUUAAAUUAUAACAGUUAUGUCUAAACUUGAGAGAGAACUUUAAAUUUUAAAAAUUAGGCAGAGCAACUAUUCAUCAUAUCCAUGCUAGAGUUUUAUUUAGAUUUAGUUUAACAUAGCCACUUUAUUUAUUUAUUAAGCACACUAAGCAAAAGAUAUAUAUAUAAGCAUAAAAUCUUUAUUUGGUUUUCCAUAGUUAUGUAUAUUUAUAUUUUAAUAUAGUGUAAGUAUAAAGAUAGAUAAAAACACUUAGCAGGAUAAAUGGGGGUGCUCUCCCCCAAGCUGAAUUUUGACGUAAUUUCUUCUUGAUGUAGCUACUAGCAGGCGGCAGAGGUGUAUUUGAAAGUCGGUAGUAUCCUGACAACGAUUAGAAUGUCCUCUGUCUGCUAGUCUUCUUGAUUCUUAAAUUUUGUGGAGCUCAAAUAGACAACAAAGCUUUGUGGAACUGAUUAAGUGUUAGCAUAAAUAUCUAGCCUGUAUCAUGUUGAGCCUCCUCAAUAAAUGUUACUCUCUAUUUUUAUAUUUUCAUUUUUAUAAAGCAGAAAAAUAUUUAUUUUAUUUUUAUGCCACCACAGUGAAUGUACUUAUGUGUUUUAUGCCACUCGUAUACUCACAUGGGGCUUACUGUUUUUCACAUUUUUAUUUUCUUUUUAGGAUAGUAUGAACAUGAUUAACUAAGCAAACUAUUUUAAAUAUUUGAAAGGGAAAGAGAUAACUACCAAGUUUACCUCUUGGCAAGGCGUUCGGUGUUUUUAAGUCCUCCAAACGGGACUCUCCGUCUUCUCAACUGUCCUAGGAUUCGUUGGGUGGCGUGGUCGAUGCUUCCGGCAGCAACUCCUCUUCAUGUAUAGUUAUCUUCUCUCUCCACACCUGACUUGGUGCUACGGUCUCCUCUGGAUAAUUGCGAAUAUAAACAAGUAGAGCAAAGUCAUAAUUAAUAUAUUGAAGUAGAACAAAGUCAUAUUCAUAAUAUUGAAGAACAAAGAAGAACAAUUGAAGAACAAUAGAAAAUUACCAAGAAUCCUCUUGACAGAUCCGGAAACCAAUCGAAGAUUGACUCCUUCUAGUUCUAAUCCUAUGUAGCUAUGCUAAUCUAGAUGUCUAAUUGAUGUGGUGGCUCUAGGCUUGAUCAGAGGCUUUUUCUCCCAUGAUGAAUAAUGAAUUAGGGUUGAGAGGUCCCCUCCUCCAGGGGCCAGGGGGUCUAGUUAUAUAGUCCUUCCAAGUGAAUAUGGGCCGUCGGAUCAAACCGACAUUGAUUGAACGGUUAUCCUUGAUCCUUUAGGUCAGUGGAGCGUAAUCCCGAAAGAGAGUCCUGAUUGGACUCCAACACGGGGCGGGCGCCCUGGUCCCUAGGGCAGGCGCCCUGGGCCAGGCUCCGUUUGGCCUCCGCUUCGUUCCCGUGUCUUCUGGAGUCUUCUAGAUGUAAGAUAAUUGCACGGCACGUUAAUAUCUCUAUGUAAUCCCGACGUGUGGGCCUUUCUUCCAUAUUUCCUGAUAACCCCCUGCAGAAAUAGACAAACACCAAAACUCAUAGAAUUCUGUCAGAUAAAACCCUAAGUCUGGAUGUCUGUAGCAUUUGGAUCCUUUUCUUUGUUUAUUUGAUAAUUAAAUUUGAUAGUUAAGGACCGUCAACACUUACGACAUUGACUCCUCACACAUCUGUACUACCAAC
rnacentral:lncRNA from 1 species